GCGAACGUUUUUGUUCCAUUUUCAGUUUUUAAACGUAAAUAGUUUUUGUUUUUAAUGUCACAUCACAGUGAUCGUCGAAUUGUCUUUGGUGUGUGAAACUAGCAGAAUCUAUAGAGUACAGUGAAGUGUUUCUUAAUGGUUGUGAGUUAAGAUAUUCUAAGAUUUCUGUGGCUUGUUUGUAUACGAUUAUAUUAGAUUCGUAAAGUUAGUUUAGGUUUAGUGUGAUAAAGUUAGUUUCUAGGAAUUAUCAAAUAGUUUUUCGUGUGACACAAUAUAUCAUUUAUUCAGGGUCCAGAUCAAGGUUCUACAAAUUAUCAAGACAAAACAUAUUGAUGCUGUGGGGCUGUCGUCCAGUGCGAGCGAGCUAAGAUUGGAUAUCUUUGACUGCAAGAGCCUGAACACUGA